rnacentral:lncRNA from 1 species
UAAAAUUUAUUAUUAUAUCUAUAUGACAAAUAACCUUAAAUAACUUUAGGCAUACCUGUAACCAUCGAAGAGAAAGCUAUGACAAAUAACCUUAAAUAACUUUUGGCAUACCUGUAACCAUAGAAGAGAAAGCUAUGACAAAUAACCUUAAAUAACUUUUGGCAUACCUGUAACCAUAGAAGAGAAAGCUAAGUUGGUUGGCUCAUCUACUUCUUCCCCAUAUUUUUCUAUUCGUGUUCUAUAGCUUGGUGGGAAGCUCUCGGAUUGGUCAUAUUACUGGAAGUCUUGGAGCAAUUAUAUUUGACCUUGUAAAUAGGCUUCUCGUCGCACCUCUUAUUACGUUCUUGUUACAGUAGCAACCAUGUCAUUGUUAAUACAAUUACUAGCAAAACAAACAGUUAACUUGUAUAAUGUGUUACGGGGUGUUGUAGUCUGGUCGAUAUUCCUCGAAUAUAUGACAAUCUAAUGUGGUGGUUUUUAAUCAGCUUUUACCGGUUCAUGUGCUUCCUCAAUUAUGUGCUUCACAAUCAAUCAUAUAGGAGUUGGUCUCACUCUCAAGAUUUUGUCGGGUUGUGUGCACAGAGGCUGCGCCACAAGAAAUUGGUAGAAGCUUUGCUAUUACCCAUUUUGGUUUUUGGACAUUGAAGCUAUUUUCAGUAGUAGUUCAUUAGUUGACAAAGAAGGAAUAUUUUUUAGAUCAUCUGGAAAUUUCUAUUACCUUUCAUGAAAGUGCCC